GUGGGGAAUAUUGGACAAUGGGCGAAAGCCUGAUCCAGCCAUGCCGCGUGUGUGAAGAAGGUCUUCGGAUUGUAAAGCACUUUAAGUUGGGAGGAAGGGCAGUAAGCUAAUACCUUGCUGUUUUGACGUUACCGACAGAAUAAGCACCGGCUAACUCUGUGCCAGCAGCCGCGGUAAUACAGAGGGUGCAAGCGUUAAUCGGAAUUACUGGGCGUAAAGCGCGCGUAGGUGGUUCGUUAAGUUGGAUGGGAAAGCCCCGGGCUCAACCUGGGAACUGCAUCCAAAACUGGCGAGCUAGAGUACGGUAGAGGGUGGUGGAAUUUCCUGUGUAGCGGUGAAAUGCGUAGAUAUAGGAAGGAACACCAGUGGCGAAGGCGACCACCUGGACUGAUACUGACACUGAGGUGCGAAAGCGUGGGGAGCAAACAGGAUUAGAUACCCGGGUAGUCC
rnacentral:rRNA from 1 species